AGCUCGUAGUUGAACCUCGGGGUCUACCCAUUGGUCAGGCUUAAUUGUCUGCACUGGUGAGAUGGAUCUCUACCUUCUGAGGAACUUUCAUGCCAUUCAUUUGGUGUGAUGGGAAAUCAGGACUGUUACUUUGAAAAAAUUAGAGUGUUUAAAGCAGGCAUUUUGCUUGAAUACAUUAGCAUGGAAUAAUAAAAUAGGACGGCAUGAUUCUAUUUUGUUGGUUUCUAGGAUCACCGUA
rnacentral:rRNA from 1 species